rnacentral:lncRNA from 11 species
AAUUUUACAUGUUGCUCUUUGGCAUAAGCAAGUACUAAACGUGCUAUUACCUAGAUAAUCAUCCUACUUACCUUGGAUAAAACGAGCAUGAAUUUGAUUAUUUAUCAAAAUUUAAAACCAGCCAUUAUCUCACCUGAUUUCACCUAAUUUCACCUGAUUCAAGGGAGUCGAAUGCCUAACCUCUUUAAAUAUUACAUAGAAUUAAAAACUUCUCUUCUUUUUAUCAUAUUAAUUAUGAUUAAUUUAAUAAUUGAUAAUUAAGCAAAGUAGAAGAGCGCUAAUUUCCGAUCACGUGGUCGAACAAUUCUCUGAAGAAUAUUUUCAACCGGUCCUGAUGGGAGAAAGUUCUGUUCCAUUGUUGGAGAAUUUUAAAGGUAUAAUGGAAUCUAUCGGUAGCUCGUUAUUAUCUCACCGAGGCGAAAUUCAAUCGAGCCACCCCUUCAUCUCUUGGUUCUCCCCCUCUGUGUUCGAGCUAUGACUUCGGUUUCGGUCAAUAUUCUGAGUAAUCUUCUUCGAUGGUUCGCCAAUUACGCGAGAGAAAAUAUAUAAUUCCAUAUGGAACUGGAAACCACACACUCGUUGUUUCCUCGCUCGAAAUUGUAAUUGUAAUAAUUCCACGCUCGGAUGCGUAAUACUGUCGAGGGCCAAUGUUCGAGUCGCUUAAUUGAAUUUGUGUUAAACAAUUUAAUUGCGUAAAAUUCGACUUGAGAGAAUAUAUUGGGAGAAGAAUCGAUUGUAAGGAAAAAAUAACAAAAUGAUACAUACAAACUGUAUACAAUUUCGAGGAAAGAUAAGAUCUUCAUGAUAAUUAAUGACAAGGAAUGAAAAGGAGAAGAGAUCUUUCGUUUAUCGAUCAGCAGUGAAACAUAUUUUCAAACCUUUUACCGACAAUUUAUUGCGUCGAUCGAGCCUUUGGAAAUCUCGAGGAAUCAUAGCUUCCCUGGAAAACGGAAAGUCGUCUGCAAAAUGUAUUCCCUCUCCCCCCCCCCCCUUCGAUACAGUCCAUAUGCAAACGACGAUGCAGUUUGUUUGAAUCUGUUCUAUCCAAACAGCUGCACCGUGUACUCAUUGAAACUAUACAGCCACGGUAAACGUGUAUGUAUGCAUAUACAGAAUCCCAGAGGUGCAGAGAGAUGGUAGAGUAUGGGAUCGGUUUACCCCGGCCGACUCCUCUUAUCCCAAGAAGGGAAAGGCAAAACACCGUGAGAGGAUACAUAUGUUCGGCGCAAGCGGCCGGUAAUCGAUCAUGGAAAUCCUGUAAAAAGUACCAGGGAUGUCUGGCCCAUCGGUCUCCGAGUGUCAAACGAGAAUUAAUAGCUAGCCGGAGUAAUGUACAAUGUGUACCAGACCAGGUUGGUACACGAUGAAUAAAGAUGAGCCCUAUGGACGAAUCGCUUCAUCGAUGUUGAAGAAACAAAGGAGAAAAAAUGGAGAUCAGUAGUAAUAGACGCGAAAGACGGAAAUAAACGCUUUGACGAGCGGUAGCCUCGGUUCCCUCUGUUAAAAAGAUUAAUGAGGAGAGAUCGUUUCCGGGAUUUCAAUUUUAUUAAAGGAGGUUCAAAGGGAAUCCUUCGCGAUACAGUGUAUCCCUUCGUCCCUCCAGCAGAUUUAAAGUGGAAUGGAGAUGGAGAAAAGAGAAAUGGAGGAGGAAAAAGGAGGGAAUCAGCACGGUGUUGCUGCAUCAGGAACGGUAAAGAAAAUCCUGGUAUUGUUGCAAAAAAAUGCAACGUAGACAAUGCGUAGACAGAAUCAAUGCAUGGGAUAUAUUGUAUUCAUUGGGAACCAUCAAUUCAUUGGAUUCUCAUCAAAUUAGAUUACAAGGAAAUAUUAUUAUACAUUGAGCAUAUACGUAUGUGAAAUACACUCAAAGAAAAAAACCUUCUCAAGGAAUAAUAAAUUACGAGAAAUCACGAUAACGAUAAUGUCGAUCGAAGCUCACCACUUUUUCUACAAAUUGUCUCCAUUUUGAAGCAUCGUGAAGCACGCCAGUCGGUGAGAAACUUAAGGAUAGAACCCCGUCGAUAAAAAAAUGCAACGUAGACAAUGCGUAGACAGAAUCAAUGCAUGGGAUAUAUUGUAUUCAUUGAGAAUCAUCAAUUCAUUGGAUUCUCAUCAAAUUAGAUUACAAGGAAAUACUAUUAUACAUUGAGCAUAUAACAGACGUAUGCGAAACACACUUGAAGAAAAACCUUCUUAAGGAUGGAAUAAUAAAUUACGAGAAAUCACGAUAGCGAUAAUGUCGAUCGAAGCUCGCCACUUCCUCUACAAAUCGUCUCCAUUUUGAAGCAUCGUGAAGCACGCCAGUCGGUGAGAAACUUAAGGAUAGAACCCCGUCGAUACAGAGAAGGAAGCGAUAAAUGUGCCUGCGGCGGUGGAGCAUGAAGUUCCUAACAAUUCCCAUUUUAUGCUCUCCAGAUUCCGCUAUGUCGCCGUUUCUUUUCCGCCCAGACACUCUGUAUACGUAAUUCCCGUAGCCGCGAUAGCUUCUUUGUCCCUAUUCGCGUAUCCUGGUUACAAAGCGGGCUACCUUUCGCUUUGAUCGUGACGUAUCCUGCAGUUCGGCAACUUCUCCAGGCUUCGUCUUCCUCCUUCUCCUUUUCCUCCUCUUCUUCUUUUCUUUUUGCCAACUAAAAAGUUGCUUUGGUUGGAUGAAUAGUUUUCUGUUGAUAAUACUUUCCAAGCCAGUUUUUCAUCAUGUAUUUUAUAUAAAUGUUACUAUGAAGAUAAUACAAAAAUAUUUAGAUUUUGGUCAGAAAAGAUUAUUGGACAAAGAAGGAUACAAGAAGAAAUGCAAUAGUAAAGUCUGGAUGAGAUCAGAAUUAAUAAACGAUCCUGUUUGGAAAACUUUCUAGUCCUUUAAGAACAUUCGUGCACGAUCCUCCUCAACAUCGCGACGAUACAACACCCAGUUUCGUGUCUAUUAUAGAAAGCUGUCUCGAAAAACUUGAGAGGAAAAAAAAAUAUAAAAAGAAUGGAGGAAAAAAUGGCGAGAAAAGAAAAGGAGAGGAAAAGGGAACACAAAGUUUCCAUCACGCAAGUGAGAAGUCUAUCCGCUUGCUCGCUCGCUCAUUCGCACGCCUCUGCCUGAAGAUUUACGCCUGGUCGUCUGUAAUUUAAUAGAGGAUACUUUGCCGGAGUUCCUUCGAGAGUUACCUGUUCUGUUCGCACGGCCCACGGAACGUGAGCUGACUUUGUGUCUCGGCAUAUCGUAGGGAAGGAAAGAUAAAAAAAAAAAAAAAAGUAGCCUAUGGAAAAAGGAAAAGGAGAAAACGAGGAAGAAGGGGAGGAAGUGAAAGAGAAGGCAGAUUGCGCGCAGAUCGUAGUGUCGUUAUUCACCGAACCGGCUCGAAUAUCUAAUUACGAUGAAAGAGGCUGUCCACGUAGCGGGGUCCCAAUGAAAAAUUCAAUAUGAAACUGUAAUCGGGAGUUUUGUCUUUCUCCACGGAUUAGUAUCGGCGGCCUGGCCGCCUUCUUCGCUUCCAAUGUCCGUGAUUUAUGACCGGGCCACACGUAACGCGCAUCAGCUGUAUAAUUUUCCCUGCCGGCUCGAUGUACGAUACUUUCCCAUUCUCAUCGAUCUCCAAGUGUCAAACUGGUAUUAGAAUCGGCCGAAUGUUGUACGAUGUCUUAUCGAGUUCUCGUCGUUGAAGGCUCAUCUUGCCUUCAAGCCCCUUCUACUUUUGAGUGAAUGAAACAGAGUUCGGAGAAAUGGAAGUAAAUCGACUGACAAAAAAGCCAAUCGACUGCUUGGCAUUCUGAUAUUUAUUCAAGUUGAUUUCGAGGUAGUACAUAGUUCAGGUGAUAUUUUAUCUGGAGCGAAGAAGUGAAGAAAGAAAACUUAAAAGAGAUAUUUUUGUGUCGAGACAGUUAUGGAGAUAGGUUUGAAUCAGAACUGUUGCUUCUAGAAGAAUUUAUAGUUUUAUAUAUAAAAUAAGAGAAAAGAAAAAAAUACUGUUAUAUUUAGAGGAAAUAAUGGUCGAGAUGAUAUCAAUAGUAUUAAUAGAUUUGAUAAUAAUAUUAAUAAAAAUUAGUUGAGAAAGUUAAAAGGAAAGAGAAAUAAAUUUCAACAAAAGUGUUGAAAAAUCAUCGAUCUAACGACAUUCUUAAUUGCAGAUUCGACAAGAAUUUCUAGUUUAAGACAUUAAAACUGUGAUGCUUUCUAUAAGAAAUUUCAAAGGAAAAGCGACAAAAACAAGUCCUCGAUCAAAUCCCGCAUCUAUCCUCCUGAAUACCUGUUUAUCUUGUAGCAAUAUCGAACCAUAGUCGAGAAAGAUUAGACAUGCCUUGUUAUGAGGUGAGAUAGGGAAUUCAAAUCUUCCCUUUCGAAGCGAACUUCGUUAGCAUAACAACGAUCUGCAAGGAACACGUGGGAUGUGAGACGUUCAACAAAAUGUAAAAAACGAAGAGACAUGCUUCCAAGGAGACGAAGUUGUGCAGGCGCAAUGAUAACGUCGAGGAAUUUUCACGUCGCGGCUCUUAAUAAAACUUACGAAACGCACGAAACGUAAUAAACGAGCGACGUGUAUAGGUGAUACACGCGGCCAGGCGACUGACCCACUUUUUCUCAAGAUGUAUGAAUAUUAGUUUAACGAACUUGCCGCAACGAAGAUAUACCUGCCACUCUUUCCUUCUUGCUUUUUCCGUAGGUAGAUAGUAUUGCGCUUCAUGUAGUUGCAUUGCACGAAUUUUUUUCCACAUUAAACGAGCCGUCUUCAACUCGGGUGGUAAUCAGCCAUCUUCUUAUUUUCACGAACGUUUUGCAUUUUAAGCACGAUGUCACGUAGAGAUUUAUCAUCAUUAUUAAUCUAAUAUCUUUCGCGUGAUAUUUCAAGAAUAUCUAAUAUAAAAUUGUAAAAUCUAUUUAUCAAGUCUGUAUAAUAUAUAAUAAUAUAUAUAUAUAUAAUUUAUCACUUAUCAAUUUACUGCAAUAUCAUUCGUUGGUAAUCUAUAGCAUAAGAUGUCCCCUAGAUGUCAGUUUGAUCGUAAUUCUCUAGUAGGGAGAAAGCAAGCAGAUUAACGCCGGUCAGAGUAAUAAUUCGUGCGGAGAACAUCGGAAACGGUUGGAACGUCUGAAUCGCAUAUCCGGCCGAAAUGGCCGGAUACGAAUCGAGUGUCAGCUUUGGGAAUUCAGCCGGUCGAUCGGUCGAUUAUACACGCCGUAAUAGAGCGUCACGCAACUAUGAGAAUCCGUUGUGUACUGGUUGGCUUCGAGCUGCCUCGAGAUGUGUCGAAACAGAAGCUUCCACGCCACGCGCCACGCUUCAGGAUUUGCAAGUGGACACGUGUAUGCAGUUACCCUUUGGCACCGUGUUCUCGACGUGGAAUUAACAACACGACGUCAUUAGACCGGAUGGAAUAACUAAUGAAAGACCUUUGGACGAUGAAGAUUGAUUUUCAGAUAUAUGAAUAGAAUUUCUAGUUGCAAAUUGAUUUAUGAAAUUAAAAUGUUUGAUUUUUUUCGUAAAUGCCUAGUUUAUUCAAAGACAAAGAUCUUUCUAUGUAUAAAUUGCAAAGAAUUAAAACUUUUUAUAAUUUAUCUAAUACCUUUUUCCAUGCAUCGAAUAAGUUACUUUUGUAUCGAUAGAUUGAAAAUUGUCACUCUAUAAAUGUUGAAACAUCUCUUGACGUAAUAAUCCUGGCUGAUCAAUGAUUGACAACUAACAAUAAGUGGAUGCCAAUUAAAUUCUUUUUUUUAAACACAAAAACCCUAUUGAUGAAAUGAUUGUGACAGCCCAGUCAAUCAUCGAUAUUGCCUUUUCCAUGUAUCAUCUAUCAUUGGGUAAAACAGAACCUAAUAAUAAGCAAGAAUAUUCAAUCGGAAGAAUCUCGAUUACUUCAGAACAGGAAACGAUUACAGGAUAAUCAGAAUCACCCACGUUUAAUUGUAAAAUGGUUUUACAAUCGGAUCCUUAUAAUCGAUUAGUAACGAUCGAAUUAACGCUUUUCAAUUAAAACUUUUUAUCGAUAGGUACGAGUUCUGGACGUUGAUAAAAGCAAGAUCGAUUCCAUGCAAGAGACAAUGAAUUUCUGAAGAAUUUCAACGUGGAGUCAAUCUGACGAUUACAUUUAUUUAUGGAAAGAUCAAAUUGUACGACAUACAUAAUGCAUCGACUUCAUUGGAAGUUUACGAGACAGUAGACGUUAUCUAUCCUUGUGCAACGACACGAAGAUUCGCCAACUGUUGUGGCAAUCGUCGGAAAAAGAUACGGGAGCGUGCAAUGUUUUAACUCGAUUCAGAAUUACCAGCUUGAACACGUGUACACGUGUAUCCCCUUGUUGCGCGUUCACCGCGGCCAUUAAAGCCGCAGCUUUAACUGACCCCGGUGGAGCUUUGCCGAUAUAUUUUCCGUAGAGGCCAGUAAACGCUGCAGUAAGUUGCUCACAGAUCUGUCGAUCGACAUUUUACUGAAUUGUCUGGAACUAACUGUACUUGAAAUUAGGUCUUGAUCUCUACCCAUAUUAUAUUUAUAGACUUUGCCAUUUCUAUUAAUGAAACGGAUUAAAAAUUUCUUUGAAAAUUUUCGAAAAUUCAUACUAUUUAAAAACGUAUCAAGAUAUUACAUAAUAAAUGUAAAUGCCUAAUAAAUAACAAGAAGAUAGAGGAGGAUAUUUUUCUUGGUAUUCAAGCACCAAAUCGUCAAAUCAUCCCAUUAUUCAAAUCAGAAGACAAUCAAUCAUCUAAUCAACGAUUCAAACUCUAAUUAUCAAGAGACUCUCAAAGUUCCUACUUCAAGAUUGGAAACCGUGGAAUUCCAUUAAAGUACAGAGGUUCGUCCCAUCGAGGGUUGAACUGCAAGAAAAUGCAGACAGAUAUCGAGAACAUGCACACCCUGAUCAUGGGAGCUCUUAUUAAAGCGAUUCACGUUGUAAUUCUUCGCAAUCCACGUUUCAAAAGACGACGAACUAUAACGUUUUCAUUAGUCCUAGCUCGCUACGUGUAAUUUCAGUGCACUGGUUUUGCCUUUUCGAGUCGUUUCAUUCCAACCGGUAUAUAUCUCCACGGUUCAUGGCCAAUGAGAAUGCGAUCCGGCUUCUACUUCAAGGUAUUCUCUGUUCGUCUCUGUUUCCGCCGGAAGCCGCCGACUCGAUUAAUCGUCGAUGGAAAGUAACGUGUAACGGAGGCCAGAGUCAAUCUCUUUUUAGAGAAAAAGAAAUUCGUCUCUUCGUUUGUGUUUUAUGUACAGCUUCUGGAUAAUUUGAAAGUUUUUUUCGAAGCUUUGGAAAAAAAAAUUUAAUCCUUGUCUUCGAGAGCGAGAAGAGAGGUUAUGUAUAUGUGAGUGAAGGAUUAACGCUUUUCUCUUUUAAACUUGAAAUUGUUUUUCUUUUUUUUAUUUAUAGCAAUUUAACAAGAAAAGUGUUUCAAAAGAAGGGGAAUAAUUAUCAAUAACGAUGAAAUAGCUUUCUUGUUGUAAAACUUGUAAAGCCAAGUAUUUCGGUAACAUUGAGGUUAUGGAAUCGGUGCGUCGGAUCUCUAUGCACAAUGAAUGCUGGCACGAGGAGUUACCGCAAUGGUGCCAUUUGCUGCCGGAAACGUUGACCAGGGUAUCGUAAAGAAGUUCAGAGAAGCCUCGAAAAUGUUCAGUGGAAGGCGACUUCUUUCCUUUGCGAAUGGCUGAAAGAAAUUGAAUUUACCGCUUCGUGAGAAACACCAAGAUCUUGCUAGCGUUCGAAUCUCGUGGCCAUCUUAGAGAAGCCAGAAACAGUUAAUAGGAUCAUAAAAAUUGAUAAAUCUAUCGGAAUAUUUAAUUACUAACUCGUCAUUUUAUCUUUAAAUAUUACUGUGUCAAUAUUGACAAAUUUGACAGGAUUUGUCAAAAGAAAAAUUAAAUAUCACAAUUGGCCACGUGGCAAACGAAUCCCUGAUGGAAUGUUAAAGUUCGACAUCCAUGAAAGGAAACCAUUUCUCAACCAACUCCUCGAACGGUAACGAUAGUAGAAGAAAAGAAGGGGCAUGAAGGAAGUUUCGCAGAAACGUAAUAACUCUGGCAAAGAUUAGACGGAUAAGGGUGGAACCGUCAAGACGUCUACUUCGAGGAGCCUAAUUAAUCAAGAAUUUAAUUCGUAAACGUCUCUCUAUUGGUUGGAAAUUAACCAAUAAAUGAUCUGAAUCAAGAAGCGCGAAAUCGUAAAGAUUUAUGUGAAUCAACGUGCAGACACGAAACGUGGAAUCCAUCUUGGAAAUUACUGGAUGAACGGAAGAAUGCUUGCACAUUGUCGACAGACACCAGGAACGAGAAUCUGAACAAGAUUAGGCUAGUUUCCAAGUCAGCCGAGAGGACAGCCGUGCCACGCGACACUUUGCCGGCGACCAGUCCCUAAUGAUCGUUCGCAUUUGUCGAAUUUAAUUCCGGAUAUUCGAUUCCUAAAUGCCUCGGGGCGAGACGAAAGCCAGCUGCCGGUUGGAAUCGAUUCGAACAUAUCCCUGCUGGAGUUCAAGGGGUUGGAUAGUUAUUGGGAACGUGGCUAAAAACGAUAGACUAUAGAAGACGGGAAUGAAAUACUAUCUUGACCCUAUUUACUGGCCUAUAUAGACUCUUUGCUUAUGAGUCGAGUUGUUUAAACUGAUGUCUGAUAACAUAGUUUCUUUGAUUGCAAUCAAAUAUAGUAUCCACCGGUAUUACUGUGAUAAUAUUUGAUCACUUAUCGCUUAUGCAGAUAGAUGUGGGUCGCUCGAUUAAUUAAAUUGGAUUUUUCUUUUUUAUUUCCUAAAAAAUAUGAUAUAAAUCAAUAAAAAAAAUGUUACGGUCAAUGUAACUUACAUUCUGCUGCUACUUUUUGACAUAAUUUGCUGAAAAAUAAUUUAAAAAAGCAAUGUGUAAAUUGCGAAUAGAUUGAUAAGAAAUAGUUGAAGGAAUGCUUGUGCGCUCGUGUAUUGCGACAUUAAUCCAUUUCCAGAUAACCAUGCUCUCUGGUCGUUUAAACCUGACAAACUGUUUUCUCUGUGUUCAGACAAAACGUUCAGACAAGACGAUCAGAUCUUUUACGAAUUAUGCACAAUCGUGUCACGAUCACAUGGAAAUUUUUUAAACUUUGAAUGUCACUUACCGACGGCAAAAUUUUUAUGUAAGCAUAAAAACGUCUGAUCAAUAGAAAUUGCGCAUGAAUGAACAAUGCACUUUAUGUUUAAUAGCGUUGUUAAAAUUUAUGAUUAUGAAUUGGAAAAUGGUUUGGAAGUUUUGAAACUAGAAGAGAAUCUUUAUAGUUCAAUGGGUUAGAACAAAGAGAUUGAUUAUGAGAUAUAAAUGGUAUCAAGAAAUAUUUUAAAAAUAUAUAAUUUCACAGAUCACAAUAUUUGGUUUUUUGACAUAUAACCAAAUUAUCAUUGCAAAUGUUGCUCUUACAAUUAUGAUUUAUGAUUAUGAAUUGGAAAAUGGUUUGGAAGUUUUGAAACUAGAAGAGAAUCUUUAUAGUUCAAUGGGUUAGAACAAAGAGAUUAAUUAUGAGAAACUGGCUCGAUCAUUAACCAAAGAUAAUCACGAUGGCGGACGCAUAACUUGAUCAAUCCUCGAGGAUCUUGGCGAUGUAUUUUUUUUUCUUUUUUUUCUUUAUUUCUUCUCCUUAUUUCUCUCUCCCUUUUUAGUUCGCAGUUGCGCAAUCUUCCCCGUACUUUGAACGGUCUCGUUUCACCGUCUGCUCCGCUCCUUCGAGCAGAUUUAUUCUAUUUAUUCGCUCAACCUCGAGGGAAGUCGGCCGAUUACGUAGAAAUUCCUUCUCCAAAGCCCUGCGAAUCGACCUCUUUCCAAUCUUUCUCUCGCUCUUUCCUUCUUUCCCCUCUCCUCCCUCUCCCUUUCUCUCUCUCUCUCUCUCUCUUCUAGCCAAGCUUUCGAGUGUUUACUCGCGUGUUCGAGUUCUGUCAGUAUCACACGCUCUCCGCCAAACAAAUCGAUCGUCUCCUAUCGCCGCCUCUUUUCGCCGAUUUUCGCCCGCCUUUCUCGACUCGACCGAUCCCCCGGGACCACGAAGCUUUUACGGGUGAGAAACCAGGGGACCAGCAAGAUCAAUUCAUACCAGUGAACAAUAUAUACGUUUCCACGAAUACGUGACAAUGUUCUUUCACGAAUAAAACAAGAUCCAC